AGGAGGAGCAUCAGCAGGCAGCGCUGCAGUGCGCGGCGUUGCAGGGCAGCGUUCCGAGUGCCGCCCCACUCGGCACCCCGAGUUUGGUUGUAGUCAAUAAAAAACAGCCACAAUUAGACAUCGACAAAGAGCACAUGGCCUGAUUUGUCCUGUAGCAUUCCAUGAGCUGCUGCACUCCUACUGGUCCAGAGUAGAACCUCUGCAGCUUUGGAGCACCAAGCCGCCAUCCUGGCACGGUUUUUGGAGGCAGUGCUCCAAGCUUUGGGCUGUAAUACCCCUGACAAUGAAAACACAACUUGCAUUUUAACGCGACACUGCUGUGCUUUGUACCAAAUCAGUGCUCCUUGGGUCUCUGAGGUAGGACAGGGUGAAGGGGAGCGGCGUGAAGCUGUGUGCAGGAAAUCUGAGGGUGGGAGGGCACUGCCAAACCCAGCUGGUGCAUCUCUGUGCAGUUUUGCCUUCCCAAGAGAAACCCAGAGCUUCCCGGUAGUUUUCUGCUCCUGUACUGCAGUGUGAGCAUAAGGUUCUGCUGCCUCCUUCUUCUGGAAGAUCCUCUGCAGCCAUGGACAUCUGAUACAGGCACCUGUCCUUUUCUGUUUGUUUUUUAAUCAGGACACAUUAUGCCUGUUGUGUUUUCUGCACGUUACUUACCAAAGUCACCAUGAAAGGGUUUUGAUUUUCCUGCAGUCAGAUUUGCUCUCAUGUAACAAGCUUCUAUGACAGAGUCCAUCUGACUUUUGAAAUUAUUUUGUUGAGGUUCAAGACAUUCUAGUCUUUAUAGUUUAUAGUCUUUAUAGCACCACCCUUCCCUCCUGCUUAUAAGUUCCCAUUUAAUUACUGGAAGGCCACAUCAGGUUUCCCCAGAGCAUUCUCUUCUCCAGACUGAACAAGCCCAGCUCUCACUGCGGGCUCAGGUGAAGUUUUUCGUCCACCAGGACGCUGAAGUCCUUCUCAGCAGGGCCACCCUCCAUGAGUUCUUCUCCCAGCCUGCACAGAUAUCUGGGGUUGCCCUGACCCAGGUGCAACACCCUACACUUGGCCUGGCUGAAUCUCAUUAGGUUCACGUGCUCCCUCCCAGAUGAAGAUUUUGAAACAGCUCUGUGAAGAAAUGAAAGAACCUUGAGAGCAACAAGAGUUCUUUCAGGCUGGACGUUAGGAAAAACUCCUCCAAUAGAGUGGUUGGGCCCUGGACACACUGCCCAGGGAGGGACUGCAGUCAGAUUCCCCGGAGGUGUUCAGGAAAUGUUUAGGUCUGCGUAUGGGAACUGCUAAUUCAGAGCCUGAACCUCUGAUUGAUCACCUGAGGCGAGCCAUGAAUCAGCCAGAGGAGCACAGUGAAGGCAAUUCAGCUGUGCUGCCCUCCUGGACGUAUUUAAGAGCUGGCUGCCAGUAGGGAAGGAGCUCUUCUGGAGAUUGGCCCUGCUGGGGUUCUGUGAGUGAGCCCUGGGUAGGGCCAAUGAUUUUCUGUACAAGAGAAACUUCUCAAAAAACAGGACAGUUCUCCUGGAUGCAUACCCUGGGGAGGAUUUCAGGUCAGAACGCUGAGGGCGGGCAGCCGUUUCUCUGCUUCUCUUUAUCCUUUCCCUACAAGUCGCCCAGCUGCAGUGUCUUGCUCCCAGCACCUCCCAAAAACCCUUUCUAUUCCCACCAGGGAUCUAAAGGAGAGCACGUUGGAAGCAAAAAGUCUCCUCUCUGGCUUCCCACUUAGCUACACCUUUCACAUGCAGCAAAAUCGUGGGCUUUGCUCUGCUCUGUGUGUCACUGGAAGAGAGCACCGCAUUGGAAAAUGAGGAUCUCGGGGUCCCAGGGCUCUGAGGAACGUGGCCACCACAUCUGUCAGAGCCAAGGGGACUUGGGAGAGUCCCCAUCGUCCCUCUUCAAAGAGAUGGCACCAAGUCGCUCCUAUUAUGAGAGCGACAGGAGGUUCUAGUCUAUGUUCACGUCUUUAUCCUCAACAGAAUAACUUUUAAAAGCCAGAUGGCCUCUGCUAUAGAAGCAGAUGUCAAAUGUGGCUUUUCUCCAUUGAAAACUGAUGCCUGGCAACUUGGAGACUAACAUAUAUGUGUAUAGAGAUGUUUUUUUCCCUUUUAAUUUUAGUAGUAAACUGAGUCUAUACUUUUAAUUCGUGAUGAAAUGCUAAAAAUGUGUACUCUUCUUUUCUGCCAGUGCUUGGCUGACGGAGUUUUUGGCCGUUCUGUGGCAUGGAAUGCAACCAGCAUGGAAGCAUCGUUGUGGAUUCUGAGUAAGAUUUCUCACCCUCUGCUCGUGAUGGCAGUGGUGACCAGCUCAGAUGUGUUGGAUGGUAUCGUGGACACUGAGGAGCUGCUCACCUGGAUCAGCGACAUGGCAGGUGCUCUCGAGGAUCCCCAGGAGAACCAAGAUGGUUCCAAAGUCAGAAAUACCUGAAGGGUGACCUGCUUCAGGACGAGCUGCUGGGGGAAGUAGACAGCCAGGAAAGAGAACAACUCAUU